rnacentral:lncRNA from 1 species
UUUGGUUCGCGCUGGCGAUGCGCGGGGAAGAAAGGCGAGGAGCGGCGUCCAGGCUGGGUGAUGUCCCAGCACGAGUAGGCGGGAUGCGCUCGCAUGGUCCGCGGGGCGCCCGGUCCCCGCCCGCGUCGCGCGUCCACCCCUGGGGACGAGAAUGCGGCCGCCUGGGGACCCCCGUCCGCGACCUCCGCGAGUCUGGAGCGCAGAGGACAGGGUCUGGCGGCUCUUUGGCCUUGGAUGGAAAGUGGGGAAUUGGGUGGGGGGCUGCGGACCCCUUAACGUGGAUUACUUGGUGUGUAUCAGCUGGGCUCAGAAGACCCACGACCUCUUCUCCAUCCGUGAAUUGAUUUGUUCUGCUUAACAGCUGGGUCGCCAAGCUGGAGUGGAAUCAGAGGUUUCUGGCUGACUCGGUGGGUGCUUUGAACCAGGAAAGGACAAGAAAGAGAUGGGAAGGACUGAUCCACAUUCCCACCAGGAAGUUUAGCGGAACCCCCGCGUGCCACCUGGACCCCCUGGAAGGACCUGGCUAAGGCUGGACCACCUCUUGAGAGGCAGGAGCUCCGGAUUUGAUCAAGAAUUCUUUGCUGAGCAUGAUGCCUCAUGCCUAUAAUCCCAACACUUUGGGAGGCCAAUGUGGGAGGAUCUCUUGAGCCCAAGAGUUCAAGACUAGCCUGGGCAACACAGAGAGACCCCAUCUCUAAAAAAAUAA